GAUGAAGAACGCAGCGAAAUGCGAUACGUAAUGUGAAUUGCAAAUUCAGUGAAUCAUCGAGUCUUUGAACGCACAUUGCGCCCCCUGGUAUUCCGGGGGGCAUGCCUGUCCGAGCGUCAUUGCUGCCCUCAAGCUCAGCUUGGUGUUGGGGCCUGCUGCACUGGCAGCCCUUAAAAUCAGUGGCGGCGCCAUCUGGCUCUAAGCGUAGUAAUUCUUCUCGCUAUGGAGUCCUGGUGGAUGCUUGCCAUCAACCCCCAAUUUUUCUAUGGUUGACCUCGGAUCAGGUAGGGAUACCCGCUGAACUUAAGCAUAUCAAUAAGCGGAGGA
rnacentral:misc_RNA from 1 species